CAAUAGCGUAUAUUAAAGUUGUUGCAGUUAAAAGCUCGUAGUUGGACUUCUGGCAGGGCGCCGCGUGCCACAGUAGUGUGCACAAGGGCCCGGCCAUCCUUCUGUAAACGUCGGGGAAGUUUAUUCGUCCGCGGCGGGAUCAGUUAAUUUACCUUGAGAAAAUUAGAGUGUUUCAGGCAGGCGUAGCCGGAAUACAUUAGCAUGGAAUAAUAGAAUAGGACUUUUGCCUCUUCUGUUGGUCUGAGGGGUGUAAGUAAUGAUUAAUAGGGAUAGUUGGGGGCAUUAGUACUUAACUGUCAGAGGUGAAAUUCUCGGAUUUGUUAAAGACUAACUUAUGCGAAAGCAUUUGCCAAGGAUGUUUUCAUUAAUCAAGAACGAAAGUUAGGGGAUCAAAGACGAUCAGAUACCGU
rnacentral:rRNA from 1 species